AUUGAACGCUGGCGGCAGGCCUAACACAUGCAAGUCGAACGGUAGCACAGAGAGCUUGCUCUCGGGUGACGAGUGGCGGACGGGUGAGUAACGUCUGGGAAACUGCCCGAUGGAGGGGGAUAACUACUGGAAACGGUAGCUAAUACCGCAUAACGUCGCAAGACCAAAGUGGGGGACCUUCGGGCCUCACACCAUCGGAUGUGCCCAGAUGGGAUUAGCUAGUAGGUGGGGUAAUGGCUCACCUAGGCAACGAUCCCUAGCUGGUCUGAGAGGAUGACCAGCCACACUGAAACUGAGACACGGUCCAGACUCCUACGGGAGGCAGCAGUGGGGAAUAUUGCACAAUGGGCGCAAGCCUGAUGCAGCCAUGCCGCGUGUAUGAAGAAGGCCUUCGGGUUGUAAAGUACUUUCAGCGGGGAGGAAGGCGGUGAAGUUAAUAGCUUCACCGAUUGACGUUACCCGCAGAAGAAGCACCGGCUAACUCCGUGCCAGCCGCCGCCGUAA
rnacentral:rRNA from 1 species